rnacentral:rRNA from 1 species
GAUGAACGCUGGCGGCGUGCCUAAUACAUGCAAGUCGAGCGAACAGAUGAGAAGCUUGCUUCUCUGAUGUUAGCGGCGGACGGGUGAGUAACACGUGGGUAACCUACCUAUAAGACUGGGACAACUCCGGGAAACCGGGGCUAAUACCGGAUAAUAUUUUGAACCGCAUGGUUCGAUAGUGAAAGACGGUUUCGGCUGUCACUUAUAGAUGGAACCGCGCCGUAUUAGCUAGUUGGUAAGGUAACGGCUUACCAAGGCGACGAUACGUAGCCGACCUGAGAGGGUGAUCGGCCACACUGGAACUGAGACACGGUCCAGACUCCUACGGGAGGCAGCAGUAGGGAAUCUUCCGCAAUGGGCGAAAGCCUGACGGAGCAACGCCGCGUGAGUGACGAAGGUCUUCGGAUCGUAAAACUCUGUUGUUAGGGAAGAACAAAUUUGUUAGUAACUGAACAAGUCUUGACGGUACCUAACCAGAAAGCCACGGCUAACUACGUGCCAGCCGCCGCAGUAA